rnacentral:rRNA from 1 species
AUGUCCGAGGCCGAGGUGGUGGCGAAUGCGUGGAAAGAAUGGGGCCUCCAGGCGUUGGUGCUGCUCAGCUUCACAUUCCAGGUGACGCUCCUCGUCUUGGCGGAGUUCCGCCGGUGCGUCGACUCGGGCGCUCUCAGGGCCUUGGUUUGGUCGGCAUACACGCUGGCCGAUGCGACGGCGAUCUACGUGCUCGGCCAUAUGUCGGUGAUCAGCAGGUCGCCGGAGCAUGAGCUGAUGGCGUUUUGGGCGCCGUUCCUGCUUCUGCACCUCGGCGGGCAGGACAACAUCACCGCCUACGCCAUCGAGGACAACCUGCUGUGGCUGCGCCACCUGCAGACCCUCGCCGUGCAGGUCGCCGCAGCCACGUACGUCAUGUAUGUGUCUUGGAUCCUUGGCCAGCGGUCCUUGCUCCGGCCGGCCACCGCCCUCGUGUUUGUGGUCGGGGUUAUCAAGUACGGGGAGAGAGUGUGGGCGCAGGCACCAGUCCGGGCGGCAGCAACUACCGGAGCGUCGAAAGGCAUCAAGUGA